rnacentral:rRNA from 1 species
GUAGGUGGCAAGCGUUGUCCGGAAUUAUUGGGCGUAAAGCGCGCGCAGGCGGUCUUUUAAGUCUGAUGUGAAAGCCCACGGCUCAACCGUGGAGGGUCAUUGGAAACUGGAGGACUUGAGUGCAGAAGAGGAGAGUGGAAUUCCACGUGUAGCGGUGAAAUGCGUAGAUAUGUGGAGGAACACCAGUGGCGAAGGCGGCUCUCUGGUCUGUAACUGACGCUGAGGCGCGAAAGCGUGGGGAGCAAACAGGAUUAGAUACCCUGGUAGUCCACGCCGUAAACGAUGAGUGCUAGGUGUUGGGGGGUUCCACCCUCAGUGCUGAAGUUAACACAUUAAGCACUCCGCCUGGGGAGUACGACCGCAAGGUUGAAACUCAAAUGA